GGGGAACCGCUGUAGCUCAGUGGUAGGGCAUCUGUCUUGCAUUCAGAAGGUCCCAAGUUCCAUCCCUGACAUCCCCA